rnacentral:ncRNA from 1 species
UAUAAAGCAAUGAAGGAAAGAGUAAGUCUUCCAUGAUGGCAUAGCGAGCCCGGACAGUGAAAGCGGGUACAGAUAAGAGACUGAAGUGCAUUCCGGAGCUUAGAGGCUGAAUGAAGUAGGUUUUCUCGGGUACGCCCGAUAUAGCGUUCACGGUAUGAACACGUACCGGUAGAGGCAAAUAUGGUGACAUAUUUGUGAAUUUGGGUGAGAAUCACGAAACAAAGCUUUCGUCCCUUAG